rnacentral:rRNA from 1 species
AUACGGAGGGUCCGAGCGUUAUCCGGAAUCAUUGGGUUUAAAGGGUACGUAGGCGGGAAUCUAAGUCAGUGGUGAAAUCUUGCAGCUCAACUGUAAAAUUGCCAUUGAUACUGGAUUUCUUGAAUUAGUGUGAAGUGGUUAGAAUGUGUAGUGUAGCGGUGAAAUGCAUAGAUAUUACACAGAAUACCAAUUGCGAAGGCAGAUCACUAACACUAUAUUGACGCUAAGGGACGAAAGCGUGGGGAGCGAACAGGAUUAGAAACCCCGGUAGUCC